GCCUGGGUGGCUUAGUCAGUUAAGCGUCUGACUUUGGCUCAGGUCAUGAUCUCACAAUUUGUGGGUUUGAGCCCUGCAUCAGGCU
rnacentral:tRNA from 1 species